rnacentral:rRNA from 1 species
UACGUAGGGGGCAAGCGUUGUCCGGAAUCAUUGGGCGUAAAGAGCGUGUAGGCGGCCCGGUAAGUCCGCUGUGAAAGUCCAGGGCUCAACCCUGGGAUGCCGGUGGAUACUGUCGGGCUCGAGUCCGGAAGAGGAGUGUGGAAUUCCUGGUGUAGCGGUGAAAUGCGCAGAUAUCGGGAAGAACACCUAUGGCGAAGGCGGGUCUCUGGGCAGUAACUGACGCUGAGGAGCGAAAGCGUGGGGAGCGAACAGG